AACAAAUCAACUUUUCAUUUUUUAGAUACAAUGUUUAACUCUUCGUCUUAUUAAAAAAAAUUUACGAUUAAUAAUUUUAUUUUUAUUAGAUGAUAAAACAUAAAUAGUACUUUAUGUGUGACUAAUUUUUUAAAAAUUUCUUGAAUUUUUUUUAAAUAAGACGGAUGGUCAAAUGCUCGACACAAAAACC
rnacentral:pre_miRNA from 1 species